rnacentral:misc_RNA from 1 species
GAUGAAGAACGCAGCGAAAUGCGAUAAGUAAUGUGAAUUGCAGAAUUCAGUGAAUCAUCGAAUCUUUGAACGCGCAUUGCGCCCCCUGGUAUUCCGGGGGGCAUGCCUGUCCGAGCGUCAUUACAACCCUCAAGCUCAGCUUGGUAUUGGGCCCCGCCGACCCGGCGGGCCCUAAAGUCAGUGGCGGUGCCGUCCGGCUCCGAGCGUAGUAAUUCUUCUCGCUCUGGAGGUCCGGUCGUGUGCUCGCCAGCAACCCCCAAUUUUUUUCAGGUUGACCUCGGAUCAGGUAGGGAUACCCGCUGAACUUAAGCAUAUCAAUAAGCGGAGGA